AACUUUUAACAAUGGAUCUCUUGUCUCGUGCGUUGAUGACGAACGCAGCCAGCUGCAAUAAUAGGUAGUGACCGUAGUGUGAAUUACAGAAUUCAGCUAACAUCUGUUGGAUUACGAUUGAACGCCUCUAAAUCAGAAUUC
rnacentral:rRNA from 1 species